rnacentral:rRNA from 1 species
CCCUUAGACGUUCUGGGCCGCACGCGUGCUACACUGAGUGGAUCAGCGGGUCAGGUUGCGCGAAAGUGUUUCCUAAUCUUGAAAUCCGCUCGUGAUGGGGAUUGACGGUUGCAAUUUUCUGUCAUGAACGAGGAAUACCUUGUAAGCGCGGGUCAUCAUCCCGCGCUGAAUACGUCCCUGCCCUUUGUACACACCGCCCGUCGCUCCUACCGAUUGAGUGGUCCGGUGAGGCUUUGGGAUCUGGAUGGAAAGAGCGUUUCGCUGUUUCUGCCCGGAAAACUCAGUCGAACCUUAUCAUUUAGAGGAAGGAGAAGUCGUAACA